rnacentral:rRNA from 1 species
UACGUAGGGGGCAAGCGUUGUCCGGAUUUAUUGGGCGUAAAGAGCGUGUAGGCGGCCAGAUAGGUCAGCUGUGAAAACUCGAGGCUCAACCUCGAGAUGUCGGCUGAAACCAUUUGGCUAGAGUCCGGAAGAGGAGAAUGGAAUUCCCGGUGUAGCGGUGAAAUGCGCAGAUAUCGGGAAGAACACCCGUGGCGAAGGCAGCUCGCUGGGACGUUACUGACGCUGAGACGCGAAAGCGUGGGGAGCAAACAGG